GUCUACAGCCAUGCCACCCUGAACAAGCCCGAUCCCAUCUGAUCUUGGAAGCUAAGCCUGGUUAGUACUUGGAUGGGAGACCACCUAGGAAGACCAGGUACUGAAGGCG
rnacentral:rRNA from 1 species